ensembl:lncRNA
GGGGGGGGGCUAUGGGGGACAGGGGUCCUACUGAUCCUCCAUCUCUGAGCUUCAGGGAGGCCUUCUGAUUGGCCAGCCUCUGCAGCAAGGGUGUUUGCAAUUGGUUGGAGCAAAUCUAUUUUGUGCUUCAAUUCCCAGCCGAAUACGUUUUGGUCGAUCAAAAGUCUAUUCCGUGUCUUUUGGACGUUUGGGGAACCCCUCCACGUGGAGUGUGUGCGGUGGGAGCAGCUCAAACCAGGCGGGCACCACGCACACUCCACGCUGCGUCAGCUGUUAAUGUCAUGUGUCUCCCAGAGACACGCUGGUGGUUCCCUGGUGGACCGACUGGUACUGAGGGGGGCCAACGAGAGGUGAGGCGGGGUACCCCCCCCCCUCAGGGGCCCCAGGGGAGGGGGGGGGUCAGCAGUGGCUGGCCUCGAUGGGGGACAGGGUCAGGAUACUGCGGUCGUUGGAGUAGAGGUUCUCCGGGUCGCUCCACGACCUGAAAGCAGGAGCAGUGGAGAAGGUUAGAAGGCUGGCAGGGAGAGAGAGGCCCAAUCAGAGAGAGCCCCGUGUGUGGCCCAAUCAGAGAGAGCCCUGUGUGGCCCAAUCAGAGAGAGCCCUGUGUGGCCCAGUCAGAGAGAGCCCUG